ACGCGCCUCAUAGCUAGCGUGAGGCUAUCUAGCGCAAAAUGGACAGUUUUUUCACAAGAAAUAGACCGAAGGAGAGUUUAUUUUUUCAACUGUGAGAGGUGGAAUUAACCUAUAUUUGUUUUUGCUCUAAACUGCUGCUCAAACGUUGUUGAGAGUUGAGAUGCAGACUGAUCCGUGGAACAACAACGGCAGUCAUUAGUCUGAUGGUCUGGCUGCGUUUCAUCUGAUUACCACUUCUCACCAGCAGGUUUUUAAUCAGCUAACUGUAGAGGUGGCAGGAGAAAACCGCAAAGACUGAACAAGAUGUUGCCGCUCCACCUGGUCGUACAGCUGCUGCUGCAUUCAGGGACUUUUCCGUUGGACCGUCGUCCUCUGGGCGAAGGCACAUUUGUUAUUCCGAGGUCGUUCUCUUACCUCCGUCCAGACUGGGAACCUGCAGCGGCAGCAGUUUUUCCCUCGAGGUACCGAUUGCAGGAGCAGUGAAGAUGGAUGAGUUUAAAGGCCCGGGGUCAACCUGCCUUUACGACCCCUUCUCAGAAGAGUUGUUUUUCUGCUCCGGUUCAAGUGAGAGCUGCAGCAGUUUUGGUGAGUAUCGUAAUGCAUUAAGUUAAUCAAACACACGAGAUAAAGCAGGAGGUUUAUCCAGGUAGAAUUUUUCAAAGUGUUCAACCCCUGGCCUGCGACCCAUGGUUUGUCUGAACGUUCCGAUGAUAACUAACGCUUGGUGUUUACUAGAAAAAGAUACAAACAGGACUGUAGUUCUGAAGGUCGUCC